rnacentral:rRNA from 1 species
CGCGGGAAUUCGAUUGAAUUCGUCGACAACAGCGUUUGAUCCAGGUUCAUAUUGAACGCUGGCGGGAGGCCUAACACAUGCAAGUCGAGCGGAUGAUGGGAGCUUGCUCCCGGAUUCAGCGGCGGACGGGUGAGUAAUGCCUAGGAAUCUGCCUGGUAGUGGGGGACAACGUUUCGAAAGGAACGCUAAUACCGCAUACGUCCUACGGGAGAAAGCAGGGGACCUUCGGGCCUUGCGCUAUCAGAUGAGCCUAGGUCGGAUUAGCUAGUUGGUGGGGUAAAGGCCUACCAAGGCGACGAUCCGUAACUGGUCUGAGAGGAUGAUCAGUCACACUGGAACUGAGACACGGUCCAGACUCCUACGGGAGGCAGCAGUGGGGAAUAUUGGACAAUGGGCGAAAGCCUGAUCCAGCCAUGCCGCGUGUGUGAAGAAGGUCUUCGGAUUGUAAAGCACUUUAAGUUGGGAGGAAGGGCAGUAAGUUAAUACCUUGCUGUUUUGACGUUACAACAGAAUAAGCACCGGCUAACUUCGUGCCAGCAGCCGCGGUAAUACGAAGGGUGCGA